CUUUAGCNAAUAUUAAAGGUGAUGCCUGCCCAGUGAUUUAAACGGCCGCGGGAUCCUCCACCGUGCAAAGGUAGCAUAAUCACUUGUCCCCUAAAUAGAGACUAGUAUGAACGGCCAAAUGAAGAUUUACCUGUCUCUUGUGGCCAAUCUAUGAAACUGAUCUCCCAGUACAAAAGCUGGAAUAAUAACACAAGACGAAAAGACCCUGUGGAACUUUACAAUGGCGCUUUCAGUUGGGGCAACUUUGGAAACAAACAAAACUUCCUAGGCAGACACGCCACGACCCAGUNACUGAAAAACGAAACAAGCUACCCCAGGGAUAACAGCGCCAUCCCCUCCUAGAGCCCCCAUCGACGAGNGGGGUUUACGACCUCGAUGUUGGAUCAGGGCCCCCAAACAGUGCAGCAGCUGUUAAAGGUUUGUUUGUUCAACAAUUAAUGCCCUACGCGAUCUGAGUUAAGACCGGAGCAAUCCA
rnacentral:rRNA from 1 species